rnacentral:rRNA from 1 species
GACAGAGGGUGCAACCGUUGUUCGGAAUUACUGGGCGUAAAGCGCGUGUAGGCGGCCCUGCAAGUCGGGUGUGAAAUCCCACGGCUCAACCGUGGAAGUGCACUCGAAACUGCAGGGCUAGAGUCCUGGAGAGGAAGGUGGAAUGCUUGGUGUAGAGGUGAAAUUCGUAGAUAUCAAGCGGAACACCGGUGGCGAAGGCGGCCUUCUGGACAGUGACUGACGCUGAGACGCGAAAGCGUGGGGAGCAAACAGG